rnacentral:tRNA from 1 species
GUUACUUUGACAGAAUAAGUGUAUUAAAUUUAGAAUUUAAUUAUAUAUUAAUUUAAUUUAAUAUAAGUAAUA